rnacentral:rRNA from 1 species
UUCGAUUCUGGCUCAGAUUGAACGCUGGCGGGAUGCUUCAUGCAAGUCGAACGGCAGCACGGACCGGUCUGGUGGCGAGUGGCGAACGGGUGAGUAAUGUCGGAGCAGUGCCUAGUAGCGGGGGACCUAACUGCGCGGCGUAGCUAAUACCAUACUGCCCUUCGGGGAAAGCGGGGACCCUUCCGGGCCUCGCACUAUUAGAGCGGCCGAUAUCGGAUUAGCUAGUUGGUGGGGUAACGGCUCACCAAGGCGACGAUCCGUAGCUGGUUUUGAGAGGACGACCAGCCACACUGGGACUGAGACACGGCCCAGACUCCUACGGGGAGGCAGCAGUGAAAUUUUGGACAAUGGGGAAACCUGAUCCAGCCAUCCCGCGUGUGCGAUGAAGGCCUUCAGGUUGUAAAGCACUUUUGGCAGAAGAAACGCACAGGAUAAUACCCCGUGCAACUGACAGUACAGAAUAAGCACCGGCUAACUACGUGCCAGCAGCCGCGGUAAUACCGUAGGUGCAAGCGUUAAUCGGAAUUACUGGGCGUAAAGCGUGCGCAGGCGGUUCCGGAAAGAAAGAUGUGUAAUCAGGCUUAACUUUGGAACUGCAUUUUUAACUACCGAGCUAGAGUGUGUCAGAGGAGGUGGAAUUCCCGCGUGUAGCAGUGAAAUGCGUAGAUAUGCGGAGGAACACCGAUGGCGAAAACAGCCUCCUGGGAUAACGCGACGCUCAUGCACGAAAAGCGUGGGAGCAAAGCAAGUUAGAUACCCUGGUAGUCCACGCCCUAGAAAGCGAUGUCAACUAGCUGUUGGGGCCUUCGGGCCUUGUUGUACCAUUGCUGUGAGAUUAAACCACUGCUAGAGAGUGAUCACCAAGAUUAAAAAUAAAGGAAUUGACGGGGACCCGCACAAACGGUGCGGAUGAUGUGGAUUAAUUCGAUGCAACACCCGAAAACUGCCACCUACCCUUGACAUGUCUGGAAUCCAGAGAUUUGGGAGUGCUCGCAAGAGAACGGAACACAGGUGCUGCAUGGCUGUCGUCAGCUCGUGUCGUGAGAUCGUUGGUUUGAUCCCGCAACAGGCGCAACCAUCGUACCAGCGAUUGCUACGAAGGGCAUCUAAUGAGACUGCCGGUGACAAACCGGAGGAAGGUGGGGAUGACGUCAAGUCCUCGCAGCCCUUAUAGGUAAGGCUUCACACGUCAUACAAUGGUCAGGACAGAGGGUCGCCAACCCACGAAGACAAUCCAGAAACCCGAUCGUAGUCCGGAUCGCAGUCUGCAACUCGACUGCGUGAAGUCGGAAUCGCUAGUAACGUCGCGGAUCAGCAUGUCGCGGUGAAUACGUUCCCAGGUCUUGUACACACCGCCCGUCACACCAUGGGGUGGGUUUUACCAGAAGUAGUUAGCCUAACCGUAAGGAGGCGAUUACCACGGUAGGAUUCAUGACUGGGGUGAAGAUAUGUUCCGGGUA